rnacentral:lncRNA from 10 species
UGGUAGAACUUACAAGACUUCAGUGGACAUAAGUUGUGCAUCUGAUCAUUAUUUAAACAUCAGAACAAAUGAAAAAGAUUCUAAGGAGAAAAAUUACCACAAGCAUUCAGGCAAUUUGAAACCAAAGCUGUUCCAGAUAGAGCUGCUCGAGUCAGAGUCAAACCUUUUUGGAGGAGGGGAAAUCUUGGAUUGAGAGCGUGACUGAUACAGGCACCCAUCCUUGUCUCUGCUCCAGAUUACAGGAAUCUCUGAAGAGGCGAGUGCUGGGUGCCUCUAGUCAACCAUGUUGAUGACGUCCUUUCUAGAAAACACCCUGAUACCUUGUGCCUGUGCUUCCAAGGUGGCUGACGCUGUGCCUGUGCUUCCGAGGUGGCUGACUUCUAACUGAGUGCAGUGGAGACCCCGUGGUGCUUUACAGAACAGAUGGCAGUGCUGCCCAAGCUCAGAACACAGCUGGACGGAUCCCCAUUUUUAAAAUGUUGCUUUUAAAGUUCCUUGGUCUAUUUUAAGUCUUAGACAAUAGAGCACUAAUUUGUGUCCACAGCUAGGGAAAAAGCACCCCAAAUACUCAUGUUAUGUCACUUUCAGUACCACAAUUCAAAUAGUGAAAGACGAUGCUUCCAUGUACCACGUAUAGGUCUCUACUAGUGAUUUUUCUCUCAUUUCAACCUAGCUUCACAUAUUUUUAUGGUAUAGCUAACUCAACAUUGAUUCUAUACAAAAUAUAUUAUCUAAGAUAGUCUUUAAAAAUAUUUGAAUUCCACUGGGAUUUGUUUAAACCCCUACACAAAUAAUUACCUCUUACUAAAAACACUGAGUUUGGCAAGUGAAAUUUUGUAAUAAGGUGAAGAUUCAAUAAAAUCUUGUCUCAAACUAAUG